GGGGCCGAACCAGGAUCGACGUGUGUUGAAAGGCAUUGUUUUCACCCGGGCUGAGUAUCCCGCAAAACUGUUCAAAACACACAAGUGCCAACGAUAACGAAGCACUCGCUCUCGCAGCGUAACAUGACGGCCUAACGGCCUAACGUUACAAAGCUAAAGCGCGGUUGGACCCACCGGGCAACAGAAGCGGAUUCCGGGGGCCCGGGGGGGCCUAGCAACAGAACCCCCCACC
rnacentral:tmRNA from 1 species